GGACUUUUGGGUGGUAUAAAUCAUUUAUAUUGUUGAGCUUUCGAGCAGACGCAGCCAUUUAUCCUCAGUUCAAGGAGACGCGGGCGGCUUAAGACGCUCGUCAGCGGCGUGUUUGGAGGGAGCUCGUAACAAGCUGUCAAGCUGUGAACGGAGACGUGCAACGAGCUCCCGGGAGGAACUGCGCACGCGCGCGUCAGGCGAGCGGACCCUCCGCCGUGCGUCACGUACGCGCCGCGCGCGCCGCAGACGGGAACUUUGGGGGCGCUCCGAGGGAGUCUGGCGCCGUCUCGCGCCCACGUAAUCGGCCCAUCUUAAGAAGAUGGAUCAAAACAAGAGAGACGAGCAGAGAUCGCAGUCACGAUAGGCGGAUCUGUAAUUCAGCGCGUCUAAUCGGCACCGGGCGCAAUGCGUUUGCUGCAAACAGCUCUUAGCUUUUUGUCACGGCUGCGCAUGCGUGCAGGUGGGACCUUAGAACGAGGCACGACCACCGGGCCUCGCGUGAAAGUCACACAGCUCUUAAACGAUUCCUUACAGGUUCAGACGCUUGGAAAUGUCACAGUCAGAGACAGUGGGAGGAUCCAGAUGUUGUGGAAGCCGGUGCGUGGAGGUGAGCCGCGUGGGGAGUCGUUCUCUCUAAUCGUCGCGUUUUGCCGCGAAGGUGCCUCCUGGGGACGACGGAAGCGGCGGAGGAGGCGGCCACACGCGCUGCGCUCCCGCGUGGGAUCGGCUCCGCGCGCUUCCACCGCAUCAAGCGCGGCGAGUCGGCGGCGCGUGCGCAAAGAGUUUGGCUUCAACAAAGGGAGACACGGGCGAGAUCAAGCGGAGCUGCUGCGUCGGAGGAAGACGGAGACACGUGAUAAUGAAAAGCAACGUCCUGCGGCAGAACUGGAACACGUGGCCUCCAACUCAAACGUCUACUUCACCUCGUCUGUGCAACGGGUCCUCAUUAAAGACGGCGCAGAGCACCAGGUAGUGUUUGUGAACUGACCCGGUGCCUUUUCCCAUCUCUUGUUGCCAGUAAGUGAGUCACUGACGUGCGACAGGUCAGGUUUUUAAAGUACUGGUUCCUGGCAAAUGAGGAGCCAAUAAGGAAAAUGACAAAACUAACUUAUUAAUGUGUGGUUCAUCAAUAUGAAAUAUGAAACAAACAGUAGCUGCAGAUCCGAGGAUAAUACUUAAAUAAAAGACUGGACAGGACCGAAAACUCAACAGGAACUAAUAAAGACACAAACAGAGAACAGCUGGGCUCCUCACAGGCGCGUUGUGGAGGAACCAGACAAGAACCAGGAACCCGACAGUGGCGCCGCCAGCGGUCGGAGGCCUCUGGGGAACCUGACGGAGCGGCGUCUCAGUAGCACUCAGCACAUCAAUCACGUCUUUAUGGUGAGUGGAUACACAGAUGCCACUUUGAAUAAAAGGGAUGUGACAGGCAGCUUUGAGUCUGCCAAACAGCACUUAGAGGGCUCAGAGCGCGAGGACACAGAUUAUGAGGCCUGAUGAGACUAAAUUAAACUCAGAGCUCUGUUUCUGUACAAAAACACGGGCAGGUUCCAGCCAGAGAGGAACGGAACCAGCCAGCAGGAAUGGGGCUUUAAUUACGGCGGACGAGCCUCUGAUGGAACACGUCCAUCCACCUUCGUCGGUGUGACGUAAUGAUUCACAUCUACACAACCAAGUGUAAAGCUGAAUUGUAAUGUGUGGCGUGGAGUGACCAACACUUUAAGUGCUAAUGAACUCAGAUAUGGGUUUAAAUAUUGUAACAUGGAGACUUUUAUUGCAAAUAAUAGUGAUUUGAUAAAAGAGACUUGUAAAUACCAUUAUUCAAGAGAACCAACAUCCAGUAAGUUUCAUAUAGAAUACUAGCAUGGUCUUAACUGCUUAAACAACAACCAACAGAACUUCAGACCGGGCCACAAUAAUCGUCAUGACUCUGAACAGCAGUGGUUUCAGUUCAUCCGAGGCCGAGGCGCCGGGAAACCACAAACACGCGCAGCCCGGCGUUCUACAGGACGUCUGGGUCUUCAGACCGGGUUGAAGAACCGAGAGUUUGGAAAAACCGAUGCCAUUGAUUAAAAACCAUGAAUUCUUUGUAAAAUGGCCACCUCAAAAACACAGGUUAACAGGUUGACAUGCAGCACAACCAUACUCUCUGCACAUCGUGUGUGAAAACUAGGACUACACACUGGCUCUAAUGAUCAAACGUUAUUGUAUUUUCUCCAAAUAUACACACAUUGAUUCUGUUCUAUAAUACUGUUAUAUUGGUUCACACCCUCUCUGUUUCAAAAAGUAGGUAAUCUGAUUGCAAACAUUGUUCUUUUAAGUCCGACAAAGAAAUCAACAACAGUUAUGGCAUCUAAGUAAACCUGACGACAUUAGAAACUAUGCCAUACUGCACCUCAGUCAAAUAAAUGUCACAUAUCCAGUUUUACAUGUUUCAAAUGUAUUUUUAUACAUUGUUUUCAUAAAGGAAGAGAAUAAAUAUAGUUCUGACCCAUUUUCAUCAUACCUUAACAUUAAAACAAGAUCAUAUGGUGCAUAAGUUGUCAAACAAGCUGAGAACAAUUUCAGUACAAACAAUCAAUGGAAAACAAAAGUUUUGCAGACCUCAAAACAAAUCACCACAAAACGUGAAAGCGGUAUCAGUGUUUGUGCUUUAAGUCUUUUAACUGCGAUGGCUAUUUCUCUAUAGGUUUGCAGUUAUAAGUUCAUGUGAAAAUACUGUGUGAGCUCGAUCGCGUGGGGAGGGGCACAAAAUAACACAAUCCAAAUCCAAACGAGGGUUGCAAGCACGACGAAUACUGCAUGUGACCGGCUUCUUUAAAAAUACCGUUGAGAGCCAUUAGUGGGCUGAUUGGGUCUGGAUGCAUCACAAAGCCUGAUUGGAACGAUGAGUCAGAUAACGGGUUAUGAACAUUCAAUCAUCAGUAUUAAGUCAAGCUAAUGAGUAGUCUUCUCCUCAGAGCUUCUGGUUCAUUUAUGGCACUAUUAAGGCAUUACAGUGCAGUACCUCUGCUCACGUUGUGGCCUGAAGAUGCUCGGGCAUGAGCGCACCGCGCUGACAGCCUUGACGCUAUAAGCAAAGCCCUGCAAGCGCCUUCACGCGCUCUGUUUGCAUGAGCUUAAUGUUUCUCCUGCUCCGCGGCCACGUGCGGUGAGCCGGCGCGUCGGUGGACGAUCGCUGGCUCUGCCCACGUGCAUUAUUAGCCUGUCCUGAAGGAGCUGCCAGCCCCUUAGGCCGUGUUUGCAAUGAUGAGAAUGCUCAUAAUCUUCAUUCUGUGUUGUGUUAGUCAGACUCUCACACUGGAUUCAGAGCAGCUUUCGCUAUUGAUCUUGUUCUUAAUCGUAAACUAUACGUUGGUUUUGAUUUAUUUGGCCCUUGGCUCUUUACGCUUCUGUAAUAAUGAAGUAGAUCUAUAUACUUUUAAACAGACUCUGAUAUAUUUAGCUAUUGAAUUAUCUGUUAACGAGUGAAACACAAGAAUCCUGCGUUCCCAGAAUCCAUUAUCUACAGCAUCAUGUGAAAAGUUGGAGCCAAAAACUUGGGCGUUGUGCAGCUGCGGCUUUUCCAGCCACAUGAUCAGUAGUCAGCCAGCAAAUCCAGAGAUAAAACGCUCUGCUCAGACGCCUACUGAAGGUGGCGCGAUUCAAAGGACGCCGUCGUUAAGAGAAAAGCUCUCAGCAGUUGAACUCGGGCUCUGCUUCAUCUCCUCAACAUUCACGCGUGUGGACGCACUGAAAGAAACGUGGAGCAUUUAAACGCAGUAUUUAUAUCUUCAAGAGAAAUGUAAACACGGGGCCACAGUGUUCCUCCCUUCAUACUGUACAAGAUCAUGAAAGGUGUUAUUGGUGGAAUGAGAAAAGCUGGUCCCACUCGGAAACAAAAGCCUACACUAUAUCAAAAUAUAAGAUACAAUACAGUAUACUUUGCUACUUCGACGGCCGCCUGAUCAAAGCUGUGAGGCAGGCAUCGUAACUGAAGGAUCCAUUUCAGAACACAACGAAGCA